rnacentral:misc_RNA from 1 species
GAUGAAGAACGUAGCGAAAUGCGAUAAGUAAUGUGAAUUGCAGAAUUCAGUGAAUCAUCGAAUCUUUGAACGCACAUUGCGCCCGCCAGUAUUCUGGCGGGCAUGCCUGUCUGAGCGCCAUUUCAACCCUCAUGCCCCUAGGGCGUGGUGUUGGGGAUCGGCCAAAGCCCGCGAGGGACGGCCGGCCCCUAAAUCUAGUGGCGGACCCGUCGUGGCCUCCUCUGCGAAGUAGUGAUAUUCCGCAUCGGAGAGCGAUGAGCCCCUGCCGUUAAACCCCCAACUUUCCAAGGUUGACCUCAGAUCAGGUAGGAAUACCCGCUGAACUUAAGCAUAUCAAUAAGCGGAGGA